GGUUAAGUUACAAAGGGCGCACGGUGGAUGCCUUGGCACUAGGAGCCGAUGAAGGACGGAACUAAUACCGAUAUGCUUCGGGGAGCUAUAAGUAAGCUUGAUCCGUAC
rnacentral:rRNA from 1 species